GAUGAACGCUGGCGGCGUGCCUAAUACAUGCAAGUCGAGCGAAUGGAUUGAGAGCUUGCUCUUAUGAAGUUAGCGGCGGACGGGUGAGUAACACGUGGGUAACCUGCCCAUAAGACUGGGAUAACUCCGGGAAACCGGGGCUAAUACCGGAUAACAUUUUGAACCGCAUGGUUCGAAAUUGAAAGGCGGCUUCGGCUGUCACUUAUGGAUGGACCCGCGUCGCAUUAGCUAGUUGGGGAGGUAACGGCUCACCAAGGCGACGAUGCGUAGCCGAGCUGAGAGGGUGAGCGGCCACACUGGGACUGAGACACGGCCCAGACUCCAACGGGAGGAAGCAGUAGGGAAUCUUCCGCAAUGGACGAAAGUCUGACGGAGCAACGCCGCGUGGGUGAUGAAGGGUUUCGGGUCGUAAAACUCUGUUGUUAGGGAAGAACAAGUGCUAGUUGAAUAAGCUGGCACCUUGACGGUACCUAACCAGAAAGCCACGACUAACUACGUGCCAGCAGCCGCGGUAA
rnacentral:rRNA from 1 species